rnacentral:misc_RNA from 1 species
GAUGAAGAACGUAGCGAAAUGCGAUAAGUAAUGUGAAUUGCAGAAUUCAGUGAAUCAUCGAAUCUUUGAACGCACAUUGCGCCCUCUGGUAUUCCGGGGGGCAUGCCUGUUCGAGCGUCAUUAUAACCACUCAAGCUCUCGCUUGGUAUUGGGGCUCGCGGUUCCGCGGCCCCUAAAAUCAGUGGCGGUGCCUGUCGGCUCUACGCGUAGUAAUACUCCUCGCGAUUGAGUCCGGUAGGUCUACUUGCCAGCAACCCCCAAUUUUUACAGGUUGACCUCGGAUCAGGUAGAGAUACCCGCUGAACUUAAGCAUAUCAAUAAGCGGAGGA